AUUGACCGCUGUCGGCAGGCUUAACCCAUGCAAGUCGGGCGCGCGGCGGACGGGUGCGUCAUGUAUGGUGAUGUGCCUGCUGGAGGGGGAUAGCUGCUGGAAACGGUAGCUAAUACCGCAUCCCCUAAGAUGAACCCAUAUGGGCUUGGCUUGUAGGUAAGGUAACGGCGUACCUAGGCGACGAGCCCUAGCUGGUCUGAGAGGAUGAUCAGCCACACUGGGACUUGGACACGGACCAAACUCCGACGGGAGGCAGCAUGGGGGAAUAUUGCACAAUGGGCGCAAGCCUGAUGCAGCCAUGCCGCGUGUAUGAAGAAGGCCUUCGGGUUGUAAAGUACUUUCAGUCGGGAGGCGUUACCGUCAGAAGAAGCACCGGCUAACUCCGUGCCAGCAGCCGCGGUAAUUC
rnacentral:rRNA from 1 species